rnacentral:rRNA from 1 species
GACGAACGCUGGCGGCGUGCCUAACACAUGCAAGUCGAACGAAGUAAGUUGCUUCACCAAGUGUUGAAUAGCUACCCCCAAGCGCAUUUGCCAAAGGGUAAGCAAAAAGUACUAUCAAUUAAAUAAAAUGGUGAAACAAAAGAAUAGCGAAGAAGAAGCAAAUGCGCUUCACGCUAAUUCCAAGUACCAACACAAAACAAAUUCAAUGUUUGGUGAAGCAACUUGCUUAGUGGCGGACGGGUGAGUAACGCGUGAACAAUCUGCCCCGUACAAAGGGAUAGCCUCGGGAAACCGGGAUUAAAACCAUAUAACACUUAACUGCCGCAUGGUAGUGAAGUCAAAUCGAUUAAGAGGUAUGGGAUGAGUUCGCGUCUGAUUAGCUAGUUGGUGAGGUAAGGGCUCACCAAGGCGACGAUCAGUAGCCGGCCUGAGAGGGUGAACGGCCACACUGGAACUGAGACACGGUCCAGACUCCUACGGGAGGCAGCAGUGGGGAAUAUUGCACAAUGGAGGGAA